AGAUUAGUAGCAGAUUCAUAGGUUUAUGAUAUUACUGUAGUCCUACUGUUGAAAAAAGAAAGCAAAUAAGCAAAAUCUUAGCAUUAAUUCUUCUUUCAGUGGCUUAAGAAAAAUGGUGCUUGAGUUAUAGUUUUGUGAUCUCACUGCAUAUUCUUCAUUGUAAGAAUUAUCAGGAGUUUCUCUUGGGAAUAAUUUCUAAUGUUGAAAUUAUCAGUGAAUGUUAAUUCUUCGUUGAGCCAUUACCAUGGAAGCUCAGAUAGUACAUUAAUUAGUUGUAAUCUUUAACUUAUUUACUUAAACUAGGCAUUAAAAUUAUCAAAUAAAUUACUAUACAUAAAGCAACUGGAAGAGUCCUAGCAAGUAGUGUCAUAUCUUAGCAGAUAUUACUUAGUAGUUUUAUUUUUUAUUUUUUUGCAAGUGUGAAUGUUAAUUCAGAUAUUCUUUAAAGUUCUGGUCUUUAGGUAUAACAUCACUUUGGAGGAAUUAUCAUUGUUUACAGAAAGAUUGAGGAAAACUCCAACUUAAACCAAUAAGUAAUUGAUAACAGUGCUUUAAAGCCUGCCUUGUUGUCUUAAUUUGUUAUUCUAGCAGCUAUAAAGAAUAGUCAGGACUUUGAAUAUCAAAGUUGACUUAUGAAAUUAUUUAUCCAUUUCUUACAUUUACUAAUUAUUGGAAUAGGCUUUGGAGUCAAAUAUGAUUCUUUUUUCUGUUAGUUGUGACAACUUGUAUUAAUUAUUUAACCUCUCCAAGACUUAGGUUCCUUAUUUACCAAAUGGACAUUAUAAUUUUUACUUUAUGAAGUAUUUGGAUUAAAGAAGCUAAAUAUAUGUGUUAAAAUAUGAUUUUCAAGAAAAGAAAGUUAUUGAGCAAAUAAAAAAUGAACAUGUGUCGCAAAUUGUAUUCUACUCACUUAUUAAUUAGGGAACCAAUAAGGUGCUAAACCACCUAGAGUGCAUUUGUGAAUUUAGAUAUUUAUAGGCAAUGUUAACAUAGGCUUGCUGAGUUAGAAACAGGUUAAUGUCCAACAAAAUCAUGAGCUUAUUCUCGGUGGUUAUCUUUUUAAUUGGGCAGAAGAUGGUUAAAAAUCUAUAGGUAAACAUGUAACUUUAUUAAAUCCAGGAUUUUAAAUCAGUAGCACAUAGUGAAUUGAAGUACAUUCCCCUAAAUCAGGAUUUUAUAACCUCAGUACUUUUAGGGCUAGAUAAUUCCUUGUGGUGGAGUGCUGCUGUCUUGUGCAUUGUAGGACUUUUAGGAGCAUCCCUAACUUCUACCCACUAGGUGGCAGCAGACUCUCCCUCCUCCAGUGUGGCAACCCUGGAGGGCAAAAUUGGCACUGGUUGAGAACCAUUGCCCUAGAUAAUCUUAAGUAGCUUUGUACCCGUAUACCAUUAUAUGCUGCCUAAUUUCCCCCUUUUUUCUAAGUUUUUGAUAAUUUUUCUUACACGUUUAAAGCACUUUGCACAAUGCCCAUCAAGUAGUAGAUAAUUAUUAAAAACUGCUAUUAAUAACAAUGAUGACACUUAUAGUUGUUAUUAAUACCAUGUUCUUUAAGCAGUUCGAAAAUCAUUAUUUGUUGAAUGUACUUAUUUAAAAUUAAGAAAAUUUUAAUUUUUUAUUGAAGUAUAGUUGAUUUACAAUGUUGUGCCAGUUUCUGCUGUACACAGAGUGAUUCAGUCAUACAUACAUAUACAUUCAUUUUUUUGUUAUUUUUCAUUGUGAUCUAUCCCUGUGCUAUGCAGUAGGAACUAUUCAUUCUAAAUCUAAUGGUUUACAUCUACUAACCCCAAACUCCCAGUCCAUCCCACUUCCUUCCCCCUCUCCCUUGGCAACCACAAGUCUGUUCUCUAUGUGUAGAAUGUAUUUUCUGAUACCGAUUUAUUCAACAGUGUUUAGAAACAAAAAAAUAAUGUCAAGAUAUUUCAGUCUUGUCAGACUUAGUUUCAAAACAGAAUUAAGUUUGGCGUGUAAAAACCACAUUCACACACAUUUCUCACAUUCUCUGCAGUUUUAAGUAUCAUACAGAUUAAUAAAAAAUAUGUAGAUUUAAGGAGUUCCUGUCAUCGCACAGUGGAAACGAAUCUGACUAGGAACCAUGAGAUUGUGUGUUCGAUCCCUGGCCUUACUCAGGGAGUUAAGGAUCCAGUAUUGCCGUGAGCUGUGGUGUAGUU
rnacentral:lncRNA from 1 species